UACAGAGGGUGCAAGCGUUAAUCGGAAUUACUGGGCGUAAAGGGUGUGUAGGUGGUUGUAUAAGUUAGAUGUGAAAUCCCCGGGCUCAACCUGGGAACUGCGUUUAAGACUGUAUAACUAGAGUACUGUAGAGGAUAGUGGAAUUUCCAGUGUAGCGGUGAAAUGCGUAGAUAUUGGAAGGAACACCAGUGGCGAAGGCGACUAUCUGGACAGAUACUGACACUGAGACACGAAAGCGUGGGGAGCAAACAGG
rnacentral:rRNA from 1 species